rnacentral:rRNA from 1 species
AGAGUUUGAUCCUGGCUCAGAUUGAACGCUGGCGGCAUGCCUUACACAUGCAAGUCGAACGGCAGCAUGGAGGAGCUUGCUCCUCUGAUGGCGAGUGGCGAACGGGUGAGUAAAGCAUCGGAACGUACCGUGUAGUGGGGGAUAACGUAGCGAAAGUUACGCUAAUACCGCAUACGCACUGAGGUGGAAAGCAGGGGAUCGCAAGACCUUGCGCUAUACGAGCGGCCGAUGUCAGAUUAGCUAGUUGGUAGGGUAAAGGCCUACCAAGGCGACGAUCUGUAGCGGGUCUGAGAGGAUGAUCCGCCACACUGGGACUGAGACACGGCCCAGACUCCUACGGGAGGCAGCAGUGGGGAAUUUUGGACAAUGGGGGCAACCCUGAUCCAGCCAUGCCGCGUGAGUGAAGAAGGCCUUCGGGUUGUAAAGCUCUUUCGGCUGAGAAGAAAACGCUAUCUCUAAUACGGGUAGUGGAUGACGGUAUCAGCAUAAGAAGCACCGGCUAACUACGUGCCAGCAGCCGCGGUAAUACGUAGGGUGCGAGCGUUAAUCGGAAUUACUGGGCGUAAAGCGUGCGCAGGCGGUUUAGUAAGACAGGCGUGAAAUCCCCGGGCUCAACCUGGGAACUGCGCUUGUGACUGCUAAGCUAGAGUACGGCAGAGGGGGGUGGAAUUCCACGUGUAGCAGUGAAAUGCGUAGAGAUGUGGAGGAACACCGAUGGCGAAGGCAGCCCCCUGGGCCGAUACUGACGCUCAUGCACGAAAGCGUGGGUAGCAAACAGGAUUAGAUACCCUGGUAGUCCACGCCCUAAACGAUGUCAACUAGGUGUUGGGUGGGUAAAACCAUUUAGUACCGUAGCUAACGCGUGAAGUUGACCGCCUGGGGAGUACGGCCGCAAGGUUAAAACUCAAAGGAAUUGACGGGGACCCGCACAAGCGGUGGAUGAUGUGGAUUAAUUCGAUGCAACGCGAAAAACCUUACCUACCCUUGACAUGUCCAGAAGCCCGAAGAGAUUUGGGUGUGCCCGAAAGGGAGCUGGAACACAGGUGCUGCAUGGCUGUCGUCAGCUCGUGUCGUGAGAUGUUGGGUUAAGUCCCGCAACGAGCGCAACCCUUGUCGUUAAUUGCCAUCAUUUAGUUGGGCACUU